rnacentral:rRNA from 1 species
UGGGGAAUAUUGGACAAUGGGGGGAACCCUGAUCCAGCCAUGCCGCGUGUGUGAAGAAGGCCUUAUGGUUGUAAAGCACUUUAAGCGAGGAGGAGGGUACUGGUAUUAAUACUACCAGGUACUGGACGUUACUCGCAGAGUAAGCACCGGCUAACUCUGUGCCAGCAGCCGCGGUAAUACAGAGGGUGCGAGCGUUAAUCGGAUUUACUGGGCGUAAAGCGUGCGUAGGCGGCUAAUUGAGUCGGAUGUGAAAUCCCCGAGCUUAACUUGGGAAUUGCAUUCGAUACUGGUUAGCUAGAGUGUGGGAGAGGAUGGUAGAAUUCCAGGUGUAGCGGUGAAAUGCGUAGAGAUCUGGAGGAAUACCGAUGGCGAAGGCAGCCAUCUGGCCUAACACUGACGCUGAGGUACGAAAGCAUGGGGAGCAAACAGG